rfam:Poecilia formosa, whole genome shotgun sequence.
GGCCGGUUAGCUCAGCUGGUCAGAGCAAGGUGCUAAAAUCACCAAGGUCAUGGGUUCAAUUCCCAUAUUGGGCA